GGCGAAAGUCUGACCGAGCAACGCCGCGUGAGUGAAGAAGGUUUUCGGAUCGUAAAACUCUGUUGGUAGAGAAGAACGUUGGUGAGAGUGGAAAGCUCAUCAAGUGACGGUAACUACCCAGAAAGGGACGGCUAACUACGUGCCAGCAGCCGCGG
rnacentral:rRNA from 1 species